AGCUAGCAGCAAAGCUGAGAAGUAAAAACUAAAGAGGUAAAGACUCAAGCAUCAGUAGUAUAGCGGUAGGAGUAGAGCCAGAGGCUUGUCGUCGUGCUGCUGCUUCCUGCUUUCGACCAGACUAUGUCAUCCUGAGUAUCUACACUGCAAGCGUUUCCUCGUCGAAGCAAGCUAAAAAUUUAUUUGUGGCGAAGCAAGGUAAAAUUUAUUUGUGGCGAAGCAAGCUAAAAUUUAUUUGUGGUGAAGCAAGCUAGAAUUUAUUUUCACAAUCUUACUACUAGUAUUUGCCUCUACGUGACCAGAACAUAGUGGUCAGAACAGGCCGGUUAUUGGCAAGCGUGGUGCCUAGUCCGUAAGUAACGUACUUAUGAAGGAAUGCAGCAGUUCGCUAUUUCUACCUUCAAUUUCAAAUGCUACAUCUGUGGAAGAGGAUAGGUUUCUAGCGCGUUCACGGAUUUAUUGAGACAUGGACUUGGAAGAAAGGUGGCUAAGGAUUCCCAGACGAGACAGCAAGGACAGCCCAAGCCACACAACGAGAUGAGGAUGGUCAUUGUCAUUUUCUAAGCUGCGAACGGGCAGAAAGCUUCACAACGAGAUGAGGAUGGUCAUUGUCAUUUUCUGAGCUGCGAACGGGCAGAAAGCCAAACAACGGGAUGAGGAUGGUCAUUGUCAUUUUCUGAGCUGCGAACGGGCACAAAG